rnacentral:rRNA from 1 species
AGUGAACGCUGGCGGUAGGCCUAACACAUGCAAGUCGAACGGCAGCACAGUAAGAGCUUGCUCUUACGGGUGGCGAGUGGCGGUCGGGUGAGGAAUACAUCGGAAUCUACUUUUUCGUGGGGGAUAACGUAGGGAAACUUACGCUAAUACCGCAUACGACCUACGGGUGAAAGCAGGGGAUCUUCGGACCUUGCGCGAUUGAAUGAGCCGAUGUCGGAUUAGCUAGUUGGCGGGGUAAAGGCCCACCAAGGCGACGAUCCGUAGCUGGUCUGAGAGGAUGAUCAGCCACACUGGAACUGAGACACGGUCCAGACUCCUACGGGAGGCAGCAGUGGGGAAUAUUGGACAAUGGGCGCACGCCUGAUCCAGCCAUACUGCGUGGGUGAAGAAGGCCUUCGGGUUGUAAAGCCCUUUUGUUGGGAAAGAAAAGCAGCAGGUUAAUACCCCGCUGUUCUGACGGUACCCAAAGAAUAAGCACCGGCUAACUUCGUG